rnacentral:rRNA from 1 species
UACGUAGGGCGCAAGCGUUGUCCGGAAUUAUUGGGCGUAAAGAGCUCGUAGGCGGUCUGUCGCGUCGGCUGUGAAAACCCGGAGCUCAACUCCGGGCCUGCAGUCGAUACGGGCAGACUGGAGUUCGGCAGGGGAGACUGGAAUUCCUGGUGUAGCGGUGAAAUGUGCAGAUAUCAGGAGGAACACCGGUGGCGAAGGCGGGUCCCUGGGCCGAUACUGACGCUGAGGAGCGAAAGCGUGGGGAGCGAACAGG